GCUUUUGUGGUGUAGUGGUCAGCACGCUCGACGCUUAUUCGAGAAAUCCUCGGUUCGGGUCCCGGAGAAGGCG
rnacentral:tRNA from 1 species